GAUCAUGGCUCAGGAUGAACGCUAGCGGGAGGCCUAACACAUGCAAGCCGAGCGGUAUUGUUUCUUCGGAAAUGAGAGAGCGGCGUACGGGUGCGGAACACGUGUGCAACCUGCCUUUAUCUGGGGGAUAGCCUUUCGAAAGGAAGAUUAAUACUCCAUAAUAUAUUGAUUGGCAUCAAUUAAUAUUGAAAGCUCCGGCGGAUAGAGAUGGGCACGCGCAAGAUUAGCUAG
rnacentral:rRNA from 1 species